AAAGUCGUAACAAGGUCUCCGUUGGUGAACCAGCGGAGGGAUCAUUACCGAAGUUACCCUUCAAACCCAUUUGUGAACAUUACCCCUUGCCGCGUUGCCUCGGCGGGAGGUCUGGGGCGGGUCCGGGGAAACCCGCGCCCCGCCCCCGGCCCCCGCCGGCCGCGCCAAACUCUUCAUUUGCAAAGCGGACUGCAUGCUCUGAUUUAGAUUUUUAAAACAAGUCAAAACUUUUAACAACGGAUCUCUUGGUUCUG
rnacentral:misc_RNA from 1 species